GAUGAACGCUGGCGGCGUGCCUAAUACAUGCAAGUCGAGCGAACAGACGAGGAGCUUGCUUCUCUGAAGUUAGCGGCGGACGGGUGAGUAACACGUGGAUAACCUACCUAUAAGACUGGGAUAACUUCGGGAAACCGGAGCUAAUACCGGAUAAUAUAUUGAACCGCAUGGUUCAAUAGUGAAAGACGGUUUUGCUGUCACUUAUAGAUGGAUCCGCGCCGCAUUAGCUAGUUGGUAAGGUAACGGCUUACCAAGGCAACGAUGCGUAGCCGACCUGAGAGGGUGAUCGGCCACACUGGAACUGAGACACGGUCCAGACUCCUACGGGAGGCAGCAGUAGGGAAUCUUCCGCAAUGGGCGAAAGCCUGACGGAGCAACGCCGCGUGAGUGAUGAAGGUCUUCGGAUCGUAAAACUCUGUUAUUAGGGAAGAACAAAUGUGUAAGUAACUAUGCACGUCUUGACGGUACCUAAUCAGAAAGCCACGGCUAACUACGUG
rnacentral:rRNA from 1 species